ANGAUNAACGCNAGCGACAGGCCUAACACAUGCAAGUCGAGGGGCAGCACAAGGAGCAAUCUGAGGUGGCGACCGUNGCACGGGUGAGUAACACGUAUGCAACCUGCCUGUAAGAGGGGGAUAACCCGUUGAAAGACGGACUAAUACCGCAUAAUACUGAAUAACCGCAUGGUUAAUUAGUUAAACAUUUAUGGCUUACAGAUGGGCAUGCGCAUGAUUAGCUAGUUGGUGAGGUAACGGCUCACCGAGGCAACGAUCAUUAGGGGUUCUGAGAGGAAGGUCCCCCACACUGGUACUGAGACACGGACCAGACUCCUACGGGAGGCAGCAGUGNAGGAAUAUUGGUCAAUGGGCGAGAGCCUGAACCAGCCAAGUCGCGUGGAAGGGAUGAAGGUUUUAUGAAUUGUAAACUUCUUUUGCAGGGGAAAUAAAGUACGGUACGUGUACCGUUUUGUAUGUACUCUGCGAAUAAGGAUCGGCUAACUCCGUGCCAGCAGCCGCGGUAAUACGGAGGAUCCAAGCGUUAUCCGGAUUUNUUGGGUUUAAAGGGUGCGCAGGCGGGUUGAUAAGUCAGCCGUGGAAAGUUUUGCAGCUUAACUGUAAAAUUGCCCGUUGAAACUGUCCGAUCUUUGAGUGCCAAAUGAAGUUAAGCGGAAUGGUGUUGGNGUAGCCGGUGGA
rnacentral:rRNA from 1 species